ensembl:misc_RNA Metazoa_SRP Metazoan signal recognition particle RNA
GCCGUGGUAUGGUGGAGUACACCUGUAGACCCAGCUACUCAAGAGGCUGAUGUGAGAGGAUCGCUUGAGUCCAGAAGUUCUGGACAACUGUGUGCUAUGCCAAUCUGGUGUCCACACUAAGUUUGGCAUCAAUAUGAUGACCUCCAGGGAGCGGGGGACCACCAUGCUGCCUAAGGAGGAGUGAACCGGCCCAGGUCGGAAACAGAGCAGGUUGAAACUUCCAGGCUGAUGAGUAGUGGGAUUGCACUGGUUCAUAAUUGUCAUGCUAAAAUAUUAUGUGUGGCUCUUGAUUUGAAGUUCUUUUUUUUU